UCCAAUGUGGUAACUCAAGUAAAAACAAGCGUAUAAAAGCAAUUUUACUGAAAAAAAAUAAAAUAUCUUGUUCGUGAUUCUACAAUAAUGGCAUUGAUACUGGGUGAACCAGAUAUAUUGGAGCAUACAGAUUGUAAUAUCAUUUCAUUAGGUACGUAAAAUUUUCAGCCUACCACAAAAUUAUAUACGUUAUUAAUAUUAUUCUUUAUUGUUUAGCCUUAUAGUUUGUCUAGCCAAAUUUCUAAAAAGUCAAACGUAUUUUUUUCUCUAAAAUAUUUCAAAAUCUUGAUCAACCACAUUGUAGCUCUAAUAUUGACAAAAGUUUUUUUUAUAUAUAUAAUUAAUUAAACACAAAAACUGUUGCUCAACUAACAUUUUUGACGACAAAAGUACUUGUCAUAAGUAGUGAAUUUUAAAAGUUUGAUAAAGUAGGCUAUUAGUUAGACAAAUCGAAGUGAUCAUCUUCGAAGUAAUAUUGCCCUAUUGUAUAUUUCCUCCGCUUUAUAUUAAUUUUCAAGAUUAUUAGAAAUGUUA